rnacentral:misc_RNA from 1 species
GAUGAAGAACGUAGCAAAAUGCGAUAAGUAAUGUGAAUUGCAGAAUUCAGUGAAUCAUCGAAUCUUUGAACGCACAUUGCGCCCGCCAGUAUUCUGGCGGGCAUGCCCGUUCGAGCGUCAUUUCAACCCUCAAGCACAGCUUGGUGUUGGGACUCGCGUUAAUUCGCGUUCCUCAAAUUGAUUGGCGGUCACGUCGAGCUUCCAUAGCGUAGUAGUAAAACCCUCGUUACUGGUAAUCGUCGCGGCCACGCCGUUAAACCCCAACUUCUGAAUGUUGACCUCGGAUCAGGUAGGAAUACCCGCUGAACUUAAGCAUAUCAAUAAGCGGAGGA